UGCAGCUCCGCCCAGUCCUCGGGCGCCGGGAAGAGCGCGGACGCCCACAGCAGCACCGUCUGCAGCGGGGCGGGACCAGCCUGAGCCUGUGGCAUCGUCCUGGCCCAGGUGACUGAAGUUCAGGCCGGGGCUCUGGCCGCCGUCGCGCCAGCUCUCGUGGUUGACCCGGUCCAGGAUGGAGAGGCCGUCCAGACGGUGGCCCGGGAGGGAGCCCAGCGCA